UGGGGAAUUUUGGACAAUGGGCGAAAGCCUGAUCCAGCAAUGCCGCGUGUGUGAAGAAGGCCUUCGGGUUGUAAAGCACUUUUGUCCGGAAAGAAAUCCUUGGCUCUAAUACAGUCGGGAGAUGACGGUACCGGAAGAAUAAGCACCGGCUAACUACGUGCCAGCAGCCGCGGUAAUACGUAGGGUGCAAGCGUUAAUCGGAAUUACUGGGCGUAAAGCGUGCGCAGGCGGUUUGCUAAGACCGAUGUGAAAUCCCCGGGCUCAACCUGGGAACUGCAUUGGUGACUGGCAGGCUAGAGUAUGGCAGAGGGGGGUAGAAUUCCACGUGUAGCAGUGAAAUGCGUAGAGAUGUGGAGGAAUACCGAUGGCGAAGGCAGCCCCCUGGGCCAAUACUGACGCUCAUGCACGAAAGCGUGGGGAGCAAACAGGAUUAGAUACCCUGGUAGUCCACGCCCUAAACGAUGUCAACUAGUUGUUGGGGAUUCAUUUCCUUAGUAACGUAGCUAACGCGUGAAGUUGACCGCCUGGGGAGUACGGUCGCAAGAUUAAAACUCAAAUGAAUUGACGGGGUCAUAGCUGUUU
rnacentral:rRNA from 1 species